CUGACACAUUUUUUGUCACUUCAUUCACAUUGGUUUUUAUUAUUAUUGCAGAAAGGAUUAAUUCUACAUCCUGAGAAGCUUCUCCAUAUGCUUGUGAUGAGUAUGAACCCCCAGUCUUCUGAACAGUGGCAGACAAGUAGAUAAGAAGAUCUAAGAUGAUACAAAUGGAAUUAUGCCUUAAGGCAGAGGAAUAGGUAAGUGCUCAUGCAAGGUAUGUUUAAACCCUAAUUUCACAUGCCACUGCUUUAAAGUCAC
rnacentral:lncRNA from 1 species